CCCUUAGAUGUCCUGGGCCGCACGCGCGUUACACUGAUGCAUUCAACGAGCUUAUAACCUUGGCCGAGAGGCCUGGGCAAUCUUGUUAACGUGCAUCGUGAUAGGGAUAGAGUAUUGAAAUUAUUAAUCUUGAACGAGGAAUUCCUAGUAAACGCAGAUCAUCAAUCUGCAUUGAUUACGUCCCCGCCCUUUGUACACACCGCCCGUCGCACCUACCGAUUGGAUGGUCCGGUGAAGCCUCGGGAUUGUGGUUCUUGCCGCUUUAUUGUGGCGUGACCGCGAGAACUUGUCUAAACCUUAUCAUCUAGAGGAAGGUGAAGUCGUAACA
rnacentral:rRNA from 1 species